UACGGAGGGUGCAAGCGUUAAUCGGAAUUACUGGGCGUAAAGCGCGCGUAGGCGGCUUUGCAAGUCGGAUGUGAAAUCCCCAGGCUUAACCUGGGAACUGCAUUCGAGACUGCAUUGCUAGAGUAUGGGAGAGGGAAGUGGAAUUUCCGGUGUAGCGGUGAAAUGCGUAGAUAUCGGAAGGAACAUCAGUGGCGAAAGCGACUUCCUGGACCAAUACUGACGCUCAUGUGCGAAAGCGUGGGGAGCAAACAGG
rnacentral:rRNA from 1 species